rnacentral:lncRNA from 1 species
UCCAAAAUCUUCCUCUACCCAACCGGCCACAGUUUUCGGACAUCAUUAAAACUAGCCGUUGAUUUUUACCCAACAAAUUAACUCUGUAUUUUCACCACCCCCUAUCACUUUACCCAAACAAAAAAUGGAUAAAUAUAUAAACAAAAAAAUAAUAAUUAAACUAGUGAGAUAAUGGGGGCUGGGCCCCACGGCUAACCAUCUCCUGGUACUGAUUCAACGACUCCUGCCUCUGCAGCCUCAUUUCCUCGUUA